GACGAACGCUGGCGGCGCGCCUAACACAUGCAAGUCGAACGAGCGAGAGAGAGCUUGCUUUCUCGAGCGAGUGGCGAACGGGUGAGUAACGCGUGAGGAACCUGCCUCAAAGAGGGGGACAACAGUUGUAAACGACUGCUAAUACCGCAUAAGCCCACGGCUCGGCAUCGAGCAGGGGGAAAAGGAGCAAUCCGCUUUGAGAUGGCCUCGCGUCCGAUUAGCUAGUUGGUGGGGUAACGGCCCACCAAGGCGACGAUCGGUAGCCGGACUGAGAGGUUGAACGGCCACAUUGGGACUGAGACACGGCCCAGACUCCUACGGGAGGCAGCAGUGGGGAAUAUUGCACAAUGGGGGAAACCCUGAUGCAGCGACGCCGCGUGGAGGAAGAAGGUCUUCGGAUUGUAAACUCCUGUUGUUGGGGAAGAUAAUGACGGUACCCAACAAGGAAGUGACGGCUAACUACGUG
rnacentral:rRNA from 1 species